CAAGGACGCAAGGUGCCCCUGCUUUUUCGGGGUAAGAAGGGGUAGAGAAAAUGCCUCGAGCCAAUGUUCGAGUACCAGGCGCUACGGCGCUGAAGUAACCCAU
rnacentral:rRNA from 1 species